rnacentral:rRNA from 1 species
CUCGUAGGUGGCCAACUAAGUCAGACGUGAAAUCCCUCGGCUUAACCGGGGAACUGCGUCUGAUACUGGAUGGCUCGAGGUUGGGAGAGGGACGCGGAAUUCCAGGUGUAGCGGUGAAAUGCGUAGAUAUCUGGAGGAACACCGGUGGCGAAGGCGGCGUCCUGGACCAAUUCUGACACUGAGGAGCGAAAGCCAGGGGAGCAAACG